AAUAUUCCUGUACUUGGUGUUACUGCGAAGGGGGGACGGAGAAGGCUAUGUUGGCCGGGCGACGGUUGUCCCGGUUUAAGCGUGUAGGCUGGUUUUCCAGGCAAAUCCGGAAAAUCAAGGCUGAGGCGUGAUGACGAGGCACUACGGUGCUGAAGCAACAAAUGCCCUGCUUCCAGGAAAAGCCUCUAAGCAUCAGGUAACAUCAAAUCGUACCCCAAACCGACACAGGUGGUCAGGUAGAGAAUACCAAGGCGCUUGAGAGAACUCGGGUGAAGGAACUAGGCAAAAUGGUGCCGUAACUUCGGGAGAAGGCACGCUGAUAUGUAGGUGAAGUCCCUUGCGGAUGGAGCUGAAAUCAGUCGAAGAUACCAGCUGGCUGCAACUGUUUAUUAAAAACACAGCACUGUGCAAACACGAAAGUGGACGUAUACGGUGUGACGCCUGCCCGGUGCCGGAAGGUUAAUUGAUGGGGUCAGCGCAAGCGAAGCUCUUGAUCGAAGCCCCGGUAAACGGCGGCCGUAACUAUAACGGUCCUAAGGUAGCGAAAUUCCUUGUCGGGUAAGUUCCGACCUGCACGAAUGGCGUAAUGAUGGCCAGGCUGUCUCCACCCGAGACUCAGUGAAAUUGAACUCGCUGUGAAGAUGCAGUGUACCCGCGGCAAGACGGAAAGACCCCGUGAACCUUUACUAUAGCUUGACACUGAACAUUGAGCCUUGAUGUGUAGGAUAGGUGGGAGGCUUUGAAGUGUGGACGCCAGUCUGCAUGGAGCCGGCCUUGAAAUACCACCCUUUAAUGUUUGAUGUUCUAACGUGGACCCGUGAUCCGGGUUGCGGACAGUGUCUGGUGGGUAGUUUGACUGGGGCGGUCUCCUCCUAAAGAGUAACGGAGGAGCACGAAGGUUGGCUAAUCCUGGUCGGACAUCAGGAGGUUAGUGCAAUGGCAUAAGCCAGCUUGACUGCGAGCGUGACGGCGCGAGCAGGUGCGAAAGCAGGUCAUAGUGAUCCGGUGGUUCUGAAUGGAAGGGCCAUCGCUCAACGGAUAAAAGGUACUCCGGGGAUAACAGGCUGAUACCGCCCAAGAGUUCAUAUCGACGGCGGUGUUUGGCACCUCGAUGUCGGCUCAUCACAUCCUGGGGCUGAAGUAGGUCCCAAGGGUAUGGCUGUUCGCCAUUUAAAGUGGUACGCGAGCUGGGUUUAGAACGUCGUGAGACAGUUCGGUCCCUAUCUGCCGUGGGCGCUGGAGAACUGAGGGGGGCUGCUCCUAGUACGAGAGGACCGGAGUGGACGCAUCACUGGUGUUCGGGUUGUCAUGCCAAUGGCACUGCCCGGUAGCUAAAUGCGGAAGAGAUAAGUGCUGAAAGCAUCUAAGCACGAAACUUGCCCCGAGAUGAGUUCUCCCUGACCCUUUAAGGGUCCUGAAGGAACGUUGAAGACGACGACGUUGAUAGGCCGGGUGUGUAAGCGCAGCGAUGCGUUGAGCUAACCGGUACUAAUGAACCGUGAG
rnacentral:rRNA from 1 species